rnacentral:rRNA from 1 species
GACGAACGCUGGCGGCGUGCCUAAUACAUGCAAGUUGAGCGCUGAAGGUUGGUACUUGUACCGACUGGAUGAGCAGCGAACGGGUGAGUAACGCGUGGGGAAUCUGCCUUUGAGCGGGGGACAACAUUUGGAAACGAAUGCUAAUACCGCAUAAAAACUUUAAACACAAGUUUUAAGUUUGAAAGAUGCAAUUGCAUCACUCAAAGAUGAUCCCGCGUUGUAUUAGCUAGUUGGUGAGGUAAAGGCUCACCAAGGCGAUGAUACAUAGCCGACCUGAGAGGGUGAUCGGCCAAAUUGGGACUGAGACACGGCCCAAACUCCUACGGGAGGCAGCAGUAGGGAAUCUUCGGCAAUGGACGAAAGUCUGACCGAGCAACGCCGCGGGAGUGAAGAAGGUUUUCGGAUCGUAAAACUCUGUUGGUAGAGAAGAACGUUGGUGAGAGUGGAAAGCUCAUCAAGUGACGGUAACUACCCAGAAAGGGACGGCUAACUACGUG